rnacentral:rRNA from 1 species
GACGAACGCUGGCGGCGUGGAUUAGGCAUGCAAGUCGAACGGUAUCAUCCUUUCGGGGGUGAGAGAGUGGCGAACUGGUGAGUAACACGUAGGUUAUCUACCCUCAAGACGGGGACAACCCAGGGAAACUUGGGCUAAUACCGGAUGAAAGCAGCAGUGAUGUUGUUUGAAAGGUGGCGUAAGCUGCCGUUUGGGGAUGAGCCUGCGCUCUAUUAGUUAGUUGGCGGGGUAAAGGCCCACCAAGGCGAUGAUAGAUAGGCGGCCUUAACGGGUGGUCGCCCACACUGGGAUUGAGAUACGGCCCAGACUCCUACGGGAGGCAGCAGUCGAGAAUAGUCUACAAUGGCCGAAAGGCUGAUAGUGCGACGCCGCGUGAACGAAGAAGCCCUUCGGGGUGUAAAGUUCUUUUAUAUGUGAGCAGUGCUUUCUAUGUGAACAGCAUGGGAGAGAGAUAUUAGCAUAUGAAUAAGCAAGGCUAACUCCGUGCCAGCAGACCC